GGGGGGAGACUGGAUCUUGGGCUGUCCUGGCACCCUGUGCUCCCGGUCUGAGCUGUUGGAUUUGUGCUCCCAGUCGCGCAGCCGCCU
rnacentral:pre_miRNA from 1 species